rnacentral:rRNA from 1 species
GAUGAACGCUGGCGGCGUGCCUAAUACAUGCAAGUCGAGCGAACAGACGAGGAGCUUGCUCCUCUGACGUUAGCGGCGGACGGGUGAGUAACACGUGGAUAACCUACCUAUAAGACUGGGAUAACUUCGGGAAACCGGAGCUAAUACCGGAUAAUAUAUUGAACCGCAUGGUUCAAUAGUGAAAGACGGUUUUGCUGUCACUUAUAGAUGGAUCCGCGCCGCAUUAGCUAGUUGGUAAGGUAACGGCUUACCAAGGCGACGAUGCGUAGCCGACCUGAGAGGGUGAUCGGCCACACUGGAACUGAGACACGGUCCAGACUCCUACGGGAGGCAGCAGUAGGGAAUCUUCCGCAAUGGGCGAAAGCCUGACGGAGCAACGCCGCGUGAAUGAUGAAGGUCUUCGGAUCGUAAAACUCUGUUAUUAGGGAAGAACAAAUGUGUAAGUAACUAUGCACGUCUUGACGGUACCUAAUCAGAAAGCCACGGCUAACUACGUG